rnacentral:rRNA from 1 species
GUCUGGUGCCAGCAGCCGCGGUAAUUCCAGCUCCAAUAGCGUAUAUUAAAGUUGUUGCAGUUAAAAAGCUCGUAGUUGGAUUUCUGUUGAAAACGCCCGGUUCGCUGCAAAGUGGUACCUGGGUCGGAUUCAGCAUAUUCCUGGGGAACAUAUCGGUACUUUAUUGUGCCGAUUGGUAUCCAGGACAGUUACUUUGAGAAAAUUAGAGUGUUUCAAGCAGGCCUUCGCCUUGAAUACUGCAGCAUGGAAUAACGAGAUAGGAUUUCGGUUCUAUUUUGUUGGUUUCUAGAGCCGAAGUAAUGAUUAAUAGGGACAGUUGGGGGCAUUCGUAUUUGACUGUCAGAGGUGAAAUUCUUAGAUUUGUUGAAGACGAACUACUGCGAAAGCAUUUGCCAAGGAUGUUUUCAUUAAUCAAGAACGAAAGUUAGGGGAUCGAAGACGAUCAGAUACCGUCGUAGUCCUAACCAUAAACUAA